GGCACGUGUCGUUGGCUAAGCCGUCGUGGCGGAAGGGUCACGGUGGCCGCCUUGAAUUACAAUUCGAUCGAGCGGCGAGCUGAAUCCUUUGCAGACGACUUAAAUACGCGACGGGGUAUUGUAAGGGUAGAGUGGCCUUGCUGCCCACGAUCCUCUGAGAUUCAGCCCUUUGUCGCUCCGAUUCGU
rnacentral:ncRNA from 1 species